GUAGAAGCACGGUGGCUAGGAAAAACUCCCUAGAAAGGCCAAAACCUAGGAAGAAACCUAGAGAGGAACCAGGCUAUGAAGGGUGGCCAGUCCUCUUCUGGCUGUGCCGGGUGGAGAUUAUAACAGCACAUGGCCUAGAUGUUCAAAUGUUCAUAAAUGACCAGCAUUGUCAAAUAAUAAUAAUCCUAGUAGUUGUCGAGGGUGCAACAAGUCAGUAACACAAGAGUAAGUGUCAGUUGGCUUUUUCAUAGCCGAUCUUUGAGAGUAUCUCUACCGCUCCUGCUGUCUCUAGAGAGUUGAAAACAGCAGGUCUGGGACAGCUAGCACGUCCGGUGAAUAGGUCAGGGUUCCAGCAGGUCUGGGACAACAGGUCUGGGACAGGUAGCACGUCCGGUGAACAGGUCAGGGUUCCAUAGCUGCAGGCAGAACAGUUGGAGCUGGAGCAGCAGCAGGGCCAGGUGAACUGGGGACAGCAAGGAGUCAUCAAGCCAGGUAGUCCUGAGGCAUGGUCCUAGGGCUCAGGUCCUCCGAGAGAGAGAAAGAAAGAAAGAGAAAGAGAGAAUUAGAGUGAGCAUAUUUAAAUUCACACAGGACACCGGAAAAGACAAGAGAAAUACUCCAGAUGUGACAGACUGACCCUAGCCCCUCGACACAUAAACUACUGCAGCAUAAAUACUGGAGGCUGAGACAGGAGGGGUCAGGAGACACUGUGGCCCCAUCCGAUGAAACCCCCGGACAGGGCCAAACAGGCAGGAUAUAACCCCACCCACUUUGCCAAAGCACAGCCCCCACACCACUAGAGGGAUGUAAUAAUAGUUUAUCAACAUUUUAAGCUAAACAUUCUGAUCUGUUAUGUCAGCUUCAUUGAGUAAAAUAGUUUUUUUUCUGUUAGUGGUUGUAUUAAUUUGGGAUCUAGCGCAUCCCACAACUGUCCCAGACUAUGUUUGGAAUAUUCAUUUCUCGCACAGGAUAGAAAAGGUCAACUUUUGUACUAUGGGGAACAGUAGAUUGACAUAGGCUAAUGCUUUUGCUGUUUGUUAGGCCUACUCAUCUUGUUGGCUGACGAAAAGUAAAUGUGGACAGUUCUUCCAAUGUCUUCAAUAUGCACCUCAGAAUUGGAUAAGGACGUGCGUAGUCGCGUCCCCGAUGUGUCUGUCCUCACUUGUAGCCUGUAAGAAAGACACAAUCACGUGAUGGAAAGCCAUGAGUGAGAGGUUCUUCGGAGCAUGCAGCACUCAGGGAGAAGGAAAU
rnacentral:lncRNA from 1 species